ACUCAAAGGAAUAGACGGGGGCCCGCACAAGCGGCGGAGCAUGCGGAUUAAUUCGAUGCAACGCGAAGAACCUUACCAAGGCUUGACAUACACCGGAAGCAUGCAGAGAUGUGUGUGCCCUUGUGGCUGGUGUACAGGUGGUGCAUGGUUGUCGUCAGCUCGUGUCGUGAGAUGUUGGGUUAAGUCCCGCAACGAGCGCAACCCUUGUCUCGUGUUGCCAGCAAUUCGGUUGGGGACUCACGAGAGACUGCCGGGGUUAACUCGGAGGAAGGUGGGGAUGACGUCAAAUCAUCAUGCCCCUUAUGUCUUGGGCUUCACGCAUGCUACAAUGGCCGGUACAGAGUGUUGCGAUACUGUGAGGUGGAGCGAAUCACUUAAAGCCGGUCUCAGUUCGGAUUGGGGUCUGCAACUCGGCCCCAUGAAGUCGGAGUCGCUAGUAAUCGCAGAUCAGCAACGCUGCGGUGAAUACGUUCUCGGGCCUUGUACACACCGCCCGU
rnacentral:rRNA from 1 species